GUCCCCAGUAAGACUGAUCAGCACAUUACUGUCAGGACGUGGACUAUGAGGUGGUUGUUUUCCCGAGAUGGAAGUGAACUUGGACCGGACAUGGCGUGAAGAGUCCAGGAGAAGAAGAAGCAGAGGAGGUGCAGAGUGACAGUCGGAACAGGAGAAGGAGAGAGGAGGUCAACACAAGAGGGGGCUCCUCUUUCUCCGUGACACCCGCGAAGAUUCCGGCAAGGCUGCUCUUUCCCACGCCGUGGUCGCCGAGCAACAUCACCCUGUAGACACAAUCCCAGUCGCUCUGCGAGUCCUCGUCCGAGUCCGAGCUCCAGUGCGCUCGGUAGUGGAGGGACUUGUCUCCGGGGUUGUAGGACGCAGACUGUCCCAGGGGAGGAUGCCUGCGCCGGGGGCCCUGCUGCUCCGGGGCCGGCCGGUAGCUGCCGGCGGGCAGGCACCCCUGGCAGGGGCCUGGAGGCUGCUGGACCAGCUGGGCGGGACGGGUGGGUGGACUGCCUCGCCGCCGCUGGACCUCCUGGUCUGUGUGGAUGUUGUUGUUCAUGUUGCUAUGGUGACAGCAUCGUCUGAGGAGAUAUUAUUACAUGAUAAGUGUUUGGUCUGGAUGUGAUGGUGAGUUGACAUGUUGCAAAACAUGGACAUCAAGCAAAGCUGGACAAGAUCACGACAAGAACACAAUAAGAAUGAGACAAGAACACGACAAGGACACAACAAGAGCAAGACAAGAACACAACAAGGAAACCACAAGAACAACACAAGACAACAAGAACAACACAAGAACACGACUGGAACAAAACAAAAACACAAAAAGAACACAACAAGACCACAACAAGAACCAGACAUGAAGACGUCAAGAACACAAAAAGAACACGACAAGAACACAACAAGAACAAGACAAGAAGACGACAAGAACAAGACAAGAACACGACCGGAACAAGACAAAAACACAACAAGACCACAACAAGAACCACACAAGAACACGGCAAGAACUCAGCUAGAACAUGACAAGAACAUGUAAAGAACUUAUCAAGAAAACAACGAGAACACAAACAAAAACACAACAAGAACACGACAAGAACACAACAAGAACAACACAAGAAGACAACAAGAACACGACUGGAACAAAACAAAAACACAACAAGACCACAACAAGAACCAGACAUGAAGACGUCAAGAACACAAAAAGAACACGACAAGAACACAACAAGAACAAAACAAGAAGACGACAAGAACAAGACAAGAACACGACCGGAACAAGACAAUAACACGACAAGAACACAACAACACCACAACAAGACCACAACAAGAACCACACAAGAACUCAGCAAGAACACGACUAGAACAUGACAAGAACAGGUAAAGAACUUAUCAAGAAAACAACGAGAACACAAACAAAAAAACAACAAGAACACGACAAGAACACAAGAACAAGACAAGAACACAAUAAGAAUGAGACAAGAACACGACAAGAACACAACAAGAGCAAGACAAGAACACGACAAGAACACAACAAGAGCAAGACAAGAACACAAAAACAACACAAGAAGACAACAAGAACACGACUGAAACAAAACAAAAACACCACAAGACCACAACAAGAACCAGACAUGAAGACGUCAAGAACACAAAAAGAACACGACAAGAACACAAGAACAAGACAAGAACACAAUAAGAAUGAGACAAGAACACAGCAAGACCACAACAAGAGCAAGACAAGAACACAACAAGAACAACACAAGAAGACAACUAGAACAUGACAAGAACAGGUAAAGAACUUAUCAAGAAAACAACGAGAACACAAACAAAAACACAACAAGAACACAAGAACAAGACAAGAACACAAUAAGAAUGAGACAAGAACACAACAAGAACACAACAAGAGCAAGACAAGAACACGACAAGAACAACACAAGAAGACAACAAGAACACAACUGGAACAAAACAAAAACACAACAAGAUCACAACAAGAACCAGACAUGAAGGCGUCAAGAACACAAAAAAAACACAACAAGAACAAGACAAAAAGACGACAAGAACAAGACAAAAACACAACAGUAACACAACAAGAACACAAGACCACAACAAGAACCACACAAGAACACGGCAAGAACUCAGCAAGAACACGACUAUAGAACAUGACAAGAACAGGUAAAGAACUUAUCAAGAAAACAAUGAGAACACAACAAGAACACGACAAGAACACAAUAAAACACAACAAGAACAUGUAAAGAACUCAACAAGAAUACAAAGUAGACCUGACAGUUGACAUCAUACAUUCUCACCUACCACGACAAGAACUCAACAAAACACAACAAGAACACACAAAGAACUAAACAAUAACACAACAAGAACACAAAAAAAAACAACAACAACACAACAAGAACAAAACAGAACACAAAGUUGGACAACAAGAACACAAAGUUAAGAACACAAAGUUGGACAACAAGAACACAAAGUUAAGAACACCACAAGAUGACGUAAAGAACACAACAAGAACACA